rnacentral:rRNA from 1 species
GACGAACGCUGGCGGCGUGCUUAACACAUGCCAGUCGAACGGAAAGGCCCUGCUUUUGUGGGGUGCUCGAGUGGCGAACGGGUGAGUAACACGUGAGUAGCCUGCCCUUGACUUUGGGAUAACUUCAGGAAACUGGGGCUAAUACCGGAUAGGAGCUCCUGCUGCAUGGUGGGGGUUGGAAAGUUUCGGCGGUUGGGGAUGGACUCGCGGCUUAUCAGCUUGUUGGUGGGGUAGUGGCUUACCAAGGCUUUGACGGGUAGCCGGCCUGAGAGGGUGACCGGCCACAUUGGGACUGAGAUACGGCCCAGACUCCUACGGGAGGCAGCAGUGGGGAAUAUUGCACAAUGGGCGGAAGCCUGAUGCAGCAACGCCGCGUGCGGGAUGACGGCCUUCGGGUUGUAAACCGCUUUCGCCUGUGACGAAGCGUGAGUGACGGUAAUGGGUAAAGAAGCACCGGCUAACUACGUG